CCCUCUGAUCAUUUCAUCUUCCCUGGUGUGUGUCCUGGGUGUGUGUCCCUGCUGUGUGUCCCUGGUGUGUUCCUGGUGUGUGUCCUGGUGUGUGUCCCUGCUGUGUUCCUGGUGUGUGUCCCUGGUGUGUGUCCUGGUGUGUGUCCUGGUGUGUGUCCUGGCCUCCCCCUCUGAUCAUUUCAUCUUCCCUGGUGUGUGUCCUGGUGUGUGUUCCUGGUGUGUUCCUGGUGUGUUCCCUGGUGUGUGUUCCUGGUGUGUGUCCUGGUGUGUUCCUGGUGUGUUCCUGGUGUGUGUCCCUGGUGUGUUCCUGGUGUGUGUGUCCCUGGUGUGUGUCCUGGUGUGUGUCCCUGGUGUGUUCCUGGUGUGUGUCCUGGUGUGUGUCCCUGGUGUGUUCCCUGGUGUGUUCCCUGGUGUGUGUUCCUGGUGUGUGUCCCUGGUGUGUGUUCCUGGUGUGUGUCCCUGGUGUGUGUCCUGGUGUGUGUCCCUGGUGUGUGUUCCUGGUGUGUGUCCCUGGUGUGUUCCUGGUGUGUGUCCCUGGUGUGUGUCCCUGGUGUGUGUCCUGGUGUGUGUCCCUGGUGUGUUCCUGGUGUGUGUCCUGGUGUGUGUCCCUGGUGUGUUCCCUGGUGUGUUCCCUGGUGUGUUCCUGGUGUGUGUCCUGGUGUGUGUCCCUGGUGUGUUCCCUGGUGUGUUCCCUGGUGUGUGUUCCUGGUGUGUGUCCUGGUGUGUGUCCCUGGUGUGUUCCCUGGUGUGUGUCCUGGUGUGUGUUCCUGGUGUGUUCCCUGGUGUGUGUCCUGGUGUGUGUCCUGGUGUGUGUCCCUGGUGUGUCCCUGGUGUGUUCCUGGUGUGUGUCCCUGGUGUGUUCCCUGGUGUGUUCCUUGGUGUGUGUUCCUGGUGUGUUCCCUGGUGUGUUCCCUGGUGUGUGUUCCUGGUGUGUUCCCUGGUGUGUUCCUGGUGUGUGUCCUGGUGUGUGUUCCUGGUGUGUUCCCUGGUGUGUUCCCUGGUGUGUGUUCCUGGCCUCCCCCUCUCAAGUUCCUCCAUACCUUCAAUCAGAAAGUCUUCAGUGCAGGUCAAAGAUGUUGGUCUUUUAUGCAAAUGAACUGCCACAGAAUAUAGUGACAGACGUAAUAAUACAAAGAAUUUCCAAAGCAGCACAGUAUGAAUUAGGAUCAUGAUUGUGGAAGCAGUACGGUAUGAAUUAGGAUCAUUUACAUUUACAUUUAGUCAUUUAGCAGACGCUUUUGUCCAAAGCGACGUACAAGGGAGAGAACAGUCAAGCUAAGAGCAAUAAAAAACAUGGUGUAACAAUAAAUACUACUUUACAUAAGAUCAUGAUUGUGGAAGCAGUACAGUAUGAAUUAAGAUGUCGAUUAUGUAAGUUGGCUGUUUUUUUGCAGCUUUGUGGAAUUGACUCUAUCAGGUAAAGGAGG
rnacentral:lncRNA from 1 species